AUUGAACGCUGGCGGCACGCCUAACACAUGCAAGUCGAGCGGCAGCGAGAGUAGUAGCAAUACUACUUGUCGGCGAGCGGCGGACGGGUGAGGAACACGUAGGAAUCUGCCCUUUAGCGGGGGACAACCAAGGGAAACUCUGGCUAAUACCGCGUACUCUCGAGAGAGGAAAGCUGCCCGCAAGGGUGGCGCUGAAGGAGGCGCCUGCGUCCGAUUAGCUAGUUGGUGUGGUAAAAGCACACCAAGGCGAUGAUCGGUAACUGGUCUGAGAGGACGACCAGUCACACUGGGACUGAGACACGGCCCAGACUCCUACGGGAGGCAGCAGUGGGGAAUAUUGGACAAUGGGGGCAACCCUGAUCCAGCGAUGCCGCGUGGGUGAAGAAGGCCUUCGGGUUGUAAAGCCCUUUAGGUUGGGAAGAAGUUUAUGAGGUUAAUACCCUCGUAGAUUGACGGUACCGACAGAAUAAGCACCGGCAAACUCUGUGCCAGCCGCCGCAGUAAAAC
rnacentral:rRNA from 1 species